rnacentral:rRNA from 1 species
GACGAACCGUGCGAACGUUGUUCGGAAUCACUGGGCUUAAAGGGCGCGUAGGCGGGCUGCCAAGUCCGGGGUGAAAUCUUUCGGCUCAACCGGAAAAUUGCCUUGGAUACUGGCGGCCUCGAGGGAGGUAGGGGCAUGUGGAACUUCCGGUGGAGCGGUGAAAUGCGUAGAUAUCGGAAGGAACGCCGGUGGCGAAAGCGAUCCGCUGGCCCUCUUCUGACGCUGAGGCGCGAAAGCCAGGGGAGCAAACGGG